rnacentral:rRNA from 1 species
UGCCUCCUGUACAAAUAUAUGAGGUACAACCUGCCCAGUGAUCCACGGAUUCAACGGCCGCGGUACCCUGACCGUGCUAAGGUAGCAUAUAAUAUACCCUUUAAUUGUGGGUUGGUAUGAAUGGACAAACGAGAGCCAAGCUGUCUCUAAAACAUCUACUAAAACUAUCCUACAGGUGAAAAGACCUGUAUAAACUCAAAAGACAAAAAGACCCCGUAGAGCUUCACUAUAACAGACUCUUGUAGAAAUUAAUAUACUACAAUACACCUAAGUAGUUUAACUGGGGCGGUUAAGGAGCAAACAACCCUCCUUACUUUACUACGGCCCAUCCACCAAAUUUUAGAUCCACAUUAGAUAAAUACACAAAGCUACCUCGGGGAUAACAGGCUAAUCUUUCUUAAGAGUACACAUCGAAAGAAAGGGUUGGCACCUCGAUGUUGGCUUAGAGUAUCCAAGGGGUUGCAGACGCUCCUAAAGGUAGGUUUGUUCAACCUUUAAAACUCU